rnacentral:lncRNA from 1 species
UAUAUAUAUAUAUAUAUAGAACUAGGCUAAAAUACUAUCGAUAGCACCAAGCUGUUGGUGCUAUUAGUUUUUUAGCCUUUGGAUUAAAAAAUGUGUGAUUAGAAUGAUGUGGGCCGGUUGAGUGAGUGGUUGGUUGAAUAGUAUAAUCUAACGGGUAAAAAUAAUCAAAGGAUUAAAUCUAACGGUGAAAAACUCGAUAGCACCAAAUCCUUGGUGGUGCUAUUGAUAGUAUUUCAGUAAGACUCUAUAUAUAUAUAUAGAACUAGGCUGAAAUACUAUUAAUAGCACCAAUGACUUGGAAUGAUUUGGUGCUAUUAAGUUUUCCUCACUUGGAUUAAAAGAUGUGCGGUUAGAAUGAUAUGGACCCCCUAGGGUUGAGUGGGUGGUUGGCUGAAUAGUAUAAUCUAACGGAUAAAAAUAAUCAAAAUGAUUAAUCUAACGGCAGAAAACUUGAUAGUACCAAGUGUUUGGUGCUAUCGAUAGCAUAUAUAUAUAUAUAUAUAACAAGAGAUGUUUU